CUGCAUCUUCGAGAGAACUAAGGUAUUUCCGACUUGAAAUUUUUGAAAUCAGACUUGGAAUUUUCGUAGGAAAUUACUUUGAGGCUGCCAUAGAACUUUAGGGAACGUAAAACCUAGGCGGAUAGUCUAGCGAACUAAGUUUUAAGCGAUUUUUCCUGUCUCGAUAUAUUGUCCCAUAAUUGUUCAUCCAAAUCUUGCAAACCGAUCUAAACUCUCCGAAAGUCGAGAAAUGAUCGCCACGCAUAUCAAGCUCGCUUCCUAAAGAGAGAAAAAGUUAGAGACAUGAACGUCGUCUUAAAACCGAUUCGUUUCUGGCAAUUUUCUCGGAACCGACAUAUCCCAAGUCGUCAACGUGGAAACAACCAAAUCACAGUCCAAGCGUCGUCUAUAAAUCGUCCCGAAUUAUCGAUCAUUCCAAACAUCAGGAGAGGAAACGUACACAACCCUUCAAAGUAUCGGUUCAACCGUUUUUCUUUCGUAAAAAAAAA
rnacentral:lncRNA from 1 species